rnacentral:lncRNA from 1 species
AAGCUGUGAGGCUCUUUCGAGUAACAUUUCUCCCCCCACUUCUUCCAGGAGGUACCGGGAGAGCAUCUGGCCUGUCAGCGAAAAGCCGAGGAGGAGCGGCAAAGUGCAGAGCUGCUGAAACAGACUGAAGCCGAGAGGCAGAAGAUCGUUGCGGAGUGGAAGGAGCUGCGAGAGUUUUUGGAGGAGCAGGAGCAGCUCCUGCUGUCCCAGCUGGAGGAGCUAGCCAGAGCCAUUGUCAGGAGAAGGGACGAGGGCGUCUUCAGACCGUCCGGGGAGAUUUCCCUGAUCGGAGAGGAGGGGCAGCAGCAGUCGAGGAGCCAAUCCCUGCAGGGUGCUGGACACACUGAGAACAGCAGGGAGGAUGGGCCGUUUCAGAAGCCAGAGCCGGGGUUUGCGGAGCUGGAGAAGAGACUCAGCGAUUUCUCUCUGAAAAGUGCCAUCCUGCAGGAGGUGCUGCUGGGAUUCAAAGAGACUCUGCGGCUGGAGCUGGAGCACCACACAGGUACGUUUCUGUCUCUCCUGGGGGGGUUCAGACCGAGAACCAUGUUAGCGGCCGGGGAUUGCUGCCCCCAGCCUGAGAUAAACCUGAAAGCGGUGGAGCAGUGACUGCCCAGGUCACUCCUGCAGUGAGGUCUGGGGGGGUCAGAGUGAAUCCUGAGCUGACGGGUGCAUUUCCCUUUGAGAAAGGAACAAGAACCUGAGUGGUGUGAAAUGGUGAGACGAGGCUGAAACACC